rnacentral:SRP_RNA from 2 species
GCUGGGCAUGGUAGUGUGUGCCUGUAAUCCCAGCUACUCAGGAGGCUGAGACAGGAGAAUCGCUUGAACCCUGGAGGCGGAGGUUGCAGUGAGCCAAGAUUGCGCCACUGCACUCCAGCCUGGGUGACAGAGUGAGACUCUGUCUCCA